GCCUUCGUGGUGUAGUGGUGAGCACGCUGGGCGCGUAUUCCAGAGGCCCGUGGUUCGAGUCCCGGCGAAAGCG
rnacentral:tRNA from 1 species